rnacentral:rRNA from 1 species
GGACGAACGCUGGCGGCGUGCCUAAUACAUGCAAGUUGAGCGCUGAAGGUUGGUACUUGUACCAACUGGAUGAGCAGCGAACGGGUGAGUAACGCGUGGGGAAUCUGCCUUUGAGCGGGGGACAACAUUUGGAAACGAAUGCUAAUACCGCAUAAAAACUUUAAACCCAAGUUUUAAGUUUGAAAGAUGCAAUUGCAUCACUCAAAGAUGAUCCCGCGUUGUAUUAGCUAGUUGGUGAGGUAAAGGCUCACCAAGGCGAUGAUACAUAGCCGACCUGAGAGGGUGAUCGGCCACAUUGGGACUGAGACACGGCCCAAACUCCUGCGGGAGGCAGCAGUAGGGAAUCUUCGGCAAUGGACGAAAGUCUGACCGAGCAACGCCGCGUGAGUGAAGAAGGUUUUCGGAUCGUAAAACUCUGUUGGUAGAGAAGAACGUUGGUGAGAGUGGAAAGCUCAUCAAGUGACGGUAACUACCCAGAAAGGGACGGCUAACUACGUG